GUUACGCAACUUCCUGUGGAAAUAGAAACUGAAACCAACUUUGGUCUCCUUCAGAUCAGCCUCCAUUUUGAGCUGCAGGAUGGAAAUAACUUGCUGACUUGUUACUAGAGGUUCAAAAGGAAAAUACCUAUCAACUGGACUGACUGGUUCUGGUUUCUCUCUCCAAAUGGCCAGAAGAUGAAAGAUGGGUAUCAGUCCAUCUAUGAGGAGUGACCGGUCCAAAGGUCAUCCUUCAGACUUCAGUAAUGAACCUGAACCAUCAGACAGAAAGAGCUGUGAGUGUGAAGAAAGACCCAGAACAGGAGCUGAACGGCCGACAGC